UGCUGUCGAGAAUGUCUCUGAUGAGAUAUAGGUAUAAGUGUCCCUUAGACUUGAGAUCGCCUCAGUGACUUGCAAGUAACUCACUGUGCUUUGGUACUGGACUAACUGAAUUUCUAAUUCAAGGAUGGAAGGCUUCUGGGCACAGUCAAGUACUUGCAAAGUUAGAGUGUGAUCGAGAUGGGAUUGACCACUCCAAGAGUUGGAGAAGAAUGAGUCGCUGUAUUUCAAUUUAGCAAAACCUUGACCAGGGUAAUCCAUCAGAUGGAUUUGAUAUUUUGAAAUACAAUGUGGACAACCUGAUCAGAGUUGACAGUGGAACCUAUGAUCAUUUUGGUCAAGGGGAUGAAUUAUAUGAAAACUAUAUCCGCAUGGGUUCUAAGGAUGUUGUUCUACACAUUCGACCAAUCCGGUCAUCGGGUACCAUUGCUAGAUGGUCACUUCGAUUGGUAUAGGAAUUUGUU
rnacentral:lncRNA from 1 species